rnacentral:snRNA from 1 species
UUUGUUUUCUGGUGGUUUUCCUCUGAUUACAAUUGUUUGCUUUAAGACAGCCAAACACCAUUGCACUCUGGAUGUUCUGACCCCUGCAAUUUCCCCAAAUGUGGGAAACUCGACUGCAUAGUUUGUGGUAGUGGGGGACUGCGUUCACGCUCUCCCCUU